rnacentral:lncRNA from 1 species
UUUUUUAUAACAAAUUCCUUGAGUUCUUACUGGACCUCACUGACCCUGGCCUUAGACCUCUCACUCGCAGACUUGGCCCAUUCGGCCCCUGAUCUUUGUUCGGCAGUCUCAUGCUUCGCCUUGUCCAGUUCGUCUUUGAGCUACUCAACAUCAGCAGCGACAACUUUGAUGGUCACACAAAUAGAUCACACUUAGAGAAAAAAAAA